rnacentral:rRNA from 1 species
UGGGGAAUCUUGGACAAUGGGCGCAAGCCUGAUCCAGCCAUGCCGCGUGGAUGAUGAAGGCCUUAGGGUUGUAAAGCUCUUUUACCAGGGAUGAUAAUGACAGUACCUGGAGAAUAAGCUCCGGCUAACUCCGUGCCAGCAGCCGCGGUAAUACGGAGGGAGCUAGCGUUGUUCGGAAUUACUGGGCGUAAAGCGUACGUAGGCGGUGACUCAAGUCAGAGGUGAAAGCCUGGAGCUCAACUCCAGAACUGCCUUUGAAACUAGGUCGCUAGAAUCACGGAGAGGUGAGUGGAAUUCCGAGUGUAGAGGUGAAAUUCGUAGAUAUUCGGAAGAACACCAGUGGCGAAGGCGGCUCACUGGACGUGUAUUGACGCUGAGGUACGAAAGCGUGGGGAGCAAACAGGAUUAGAUACCCCCGUAGUCCCUGAGCGGGCUGGCAAGGCGCAU